CAUCCGUCUGACGGUACCUCCAAAGUAAGGACCGGCUAAAUACGUGCCAGCAGCCGCGGUAAUACGUAUGGUCCGAGCGUUGUCCGGAAUUACUUGGGCAUAAAGGGUGCGUAGGCGGAUGUGUAAGUCAGGCGUGAAAGCCCUCGGCUCAACCGGGGAAUUGCGCUUGAAACUGCACGUCUAGAGCAUGUCAGAGGCAGGCGGAAUUCCCGGAGUAGCAGUGAAAUGCGUAGAUAUCGGGAAGAACCACCGGUGGCGAAGGCGGCCUGCUGGGACAGUGCUGACGCUGAGGCACGAAAGCGUGGGGAGCGAACGGGAUUAGAUACCCCGGUAGUCCACGCCGUAAACGAUGGAUACUAGAUGUUGGACACGCUGAAGUGUUCAGUGUCGAAACAAAUGCGAUAAGUAUCCCGCCUGGGGAGUACGACCGCAAGGUUUAAACUCAAAGGAAUUGACGGGGGCCCGCACAAGCGGUGGAGCAUGUGGUUUAAUUCGAUGCAACGCGAAGAACCUUACCCGGAUUUGACAUCCUUCGGACCGUCUCUGGAGACAGAGACUUUCUCUUCGGAGACCGAAGUGACAGGUGCUGCAUGGCUGUCGUCAGCUCGUGUUGUGAAAUGUUGGGUUAAGUCCCGCAACGAGCGCAACCCUUGUUCUUAGUUGCCAGCAUUAAGAUGGGCACUCUAAGAAGACUGCCGAGGUUAACUCGGAGGAAGGUGGGGAUGACGUCAAGUCCUCAUGGCCCUUAUGUCCGNGGCUACACACGUGCUACAAUGGUAUAGACAGAGGGAAGCUACGCCGCAAGGCCACGCGGAUCCUCAAACUGUAUCACAGUUCGGAUCGG
rnacentral:rRNA from 1 species